rnacentral:rRNA from 1 species
CCCCUAGAUGUUCUGGGCCGCACGCGCGCUACACUGAACAGUUCAACAAGUCUUAACCUUGGCCGAUAGGUCUGGGUAAUCUUUGAACGCUGUUCGUGAUUGGGAUAGACCUUUGCAAUUAUGGGUCUUCAACGAGGAAUUCCUAGUAAACGCAAGUCAUCAGCUUGCAUUGAUUACGUCCCUGCCCUUUGUACACACCGCCCGUCGCACCUACCGAUUGGGUGAUCCGGUGAAUUGCUUGGAACAGCCAAAGUGUUCUUUGAACGCUGUGGAGGUGAAAAGUUGUAAACCUUAUCACUUAGAGGAAGAAAAAGUCGUANCA